rnacentral:rRNA from 1 species
CUGAAUAACUCCGCAGAUCGCAUGGUCUAGCACCGGAGACCUAUCUUUCAAGUGUCUGCCUUAGAACUUUCGAUGGGAGUUUAUGUGACUACCAUGGGCGUUACUAUUGCUACAUAAUUAGGGUUCGACUCCGGAGAGGGAGCCUGAGAAACGGCUACCACAUCCAAGGAAGGCAUGAAGGCGCGCAAAUUACCCACUCUCGGCACGAGGAGGUAGUGACGAAAAAUAACGAGACAGUUCUCUCUGAGGUCUGUCAUCGGAAUGGGUACAAUCUAAACCCUUUAACGAGGAUCUAUUGGAGGGCAAGUCUGGUGCCAGCAGCCGCGGUAAUUCCAGCUCCAAUAGCGUAUAUUAAAGUUGUUGCGGUUAAAAAG